rnacentral:rRNA from 1 species
AUUGAACGCUGGCGGCAUGCCUUACACAUGCAAGUCGAACGGUAACAGGUCUUCGGAUGCUGACGAGUGGCGAACGGGUGAGUAAUACAUCGGAACGUGCCCGAGCAGUGGGGGAUAACGAAGCGAAAGCUUUGCUAAUACCGCAUACGAUCUCAGGAUGAAAGCAGGGGACCGCAAGGCCUUGCGCUCACGGAGCGGCCGAUGGCAGAUUAGGUAGUUGGUGGGAUAAAAGCUUACCAAGCCGACGAUCUGUAGCUGGUCUGAGAGGACGACCAGCCACACUGGGACUGAGACACGGCCCAGACUCCUACGGGAGGCAGCAGUGGGGAAUUUUGGACAAUGGGCGCAAGCCUGAUCCAGCCAUGCCGCGUGCAGGAUGAAGGCCUUCGGGUUGUAAACUGCUUUUGUACGGAACGAAAAGACUCUGGUUAAUACCUGGGGUCCAUGACGGUACCGUAAGAAUAAGCACCGGCUAACUACGUGCCAGCAGCCGCGGUAAUACGUAGGGUGCGAGCGUUAAUCGGAAUUACUGGGCGUAAAGCGUGCGCAGGCCGGUUAUGUAAGACAGAUGUGAAAUCCCCGGGCUCAACCUGGGAACUGCAUUUGUGACUGCAUAGCUAGAGUACGGCA